GUGUAUCACCUUCGGGGGUAGAGCACUGUUUUGGCUAGGGGGUCAUGGCGACUUACCAAACCAAGGCAAACUCCGAAUACCGAAGAGUGUCAGCACGGGAGACAGAGCACCGGGUGCUAACGUCCGGACUCAAGAGGGAAACAACCCAGACCGCCAGCUAAGGUCCCCAAAUAUGGCUAAGUGGGAAACGAAGUGGGAAGGCAUUGACAGUCAGGAAGUUGGCUUAGAAGCAGCCAUCCUUUAAAGAAAGCGUAAUAGCUCACUGAUCGAGUCGUCCUGCGCGGAAGAUGUAACGGGGCUCAAACUGUGCACCGAAAUCGCGGAUCUCAGCGUUCCUUUUAGAACAUUCAUGUUUCGCGGAGCGGCACAACGCAAGUUGUGGCGCGACGCAAAACGAAUACACGACAAAACAGUUGGGGGCAUGUUCCCCUCGAUUGAAGGUUUGUCGUUCACCCUGCGGCGUGAACGACAACCGUGGGCGUGUUCUAAAAGGAGCGCUGAGAUGGUAGGAGAGCGUUCCGUAGGCCUGCGAAGGUGUGGUGUGAACCAUGCUGGAGGUAUCGGAAGUGCGAAUGCUGACAUGAGUAGCGAUAAAGGGAGUGAAAGGCUCCCUCGCCGAAAGCCCAAGGUUUCCUGCGCAACGUUCAUCGGCGCAGGGUGAGUCGGCCCCUAAGGCGAGGCAGAAAUGCGUAGUCGAUGGGAAACAGGUUAAUAUUCCUGUACCUCAAUGCAAUGCGAUGUGGGGACGGAGAAGGUUAGGCAAUCCGGGUGUUGGACGUCCCGGUUCAAGCGUGUAGGCGGAUCCUUUAGGCAAAUCCGGAGGGUCAACGUCGAGGCGUGAUAACGAGUGCCCUUGAGGCGCGAAGUUGCUGAUACCAAGCUUCCAAGAAAAGCCACUAAGCUUCAGUUGCAUUGGGACCGUACCGCAAACCGACACAGGUGGGCAGGAUGAGAAUUCUAAGGCGCUUGAGAGAACUCGGGUGAAGGAACUCGGCAAAUUAGCACCGUAACUUCGGGAGAAGGUGCGCCCUGGUAGGUUGUAGCGCUUCGCGCGUGAAGGCUGAAGGGGUUGCAGUGAAAAGGUGGCUGCGACUGUUUAAUAAAAACACAGCACUGUGCAAACACGAAAGUGGACGUAUACAGUGUGACGCCUGCCCGGUGCCGGAAGGUUAAGUGAUGGGGUGCAAGCUCUUGAUCGAAGCCCCGGUAAACGGCGGCCGUAACUAUAACGGUCCUAAGGUAGCGAAAUUCCUUGUCGGGUAAGUUCCGACCUGCACGAAUGGCGUAACGAUGGCCACACUGUCUCCUCCUGAGACUCAGCGAAGUUGAAAUGUUUGUGAUGAUGCAAUCUACCCGCGGCUAGACGGAAAGGCACCAUGCAC
rnacentral:rRNA from 1 species